UCUUCGAUCAUUUUUCUUUUGUACUGAAAUUAUUACUUUAAAAUAAAUUAAGCGUCGUUAAAUCAGUCUAAGUUAAUAAUCCCGGAUGUAUUUAACAGAAAUGAUUGAAUUCUAAAUCAAGAUUUAAUUCCUCCGCUUAUACACUACUUCAAAAAUAUCGUUCUUCGCAGUUGACAAACUCCUACACCGAUUUCGCCGUUCAGGUGGUGUAUUCCGACGACAGGCUUGCCGCUAAUCGACCUUCGCAAUUCGAGACAUCACAAAAUUGAAGGUAAAUUACAGUGCAGCCAUUCGAUGACAUAAAGGUAGGUACCAUUUAAUUGGUGUUAUGUUUCAUUAAGCAGGGAUCUUAGAAAAAUUAAAUUCCCUAGAGGAGCUUCUGCAUCAUGAGAUUACGUACCCUUUCGAAGGUACACACGAUCUGUGAAAGUUUACUGGUCUCUGUUUUUUAUCAUAAUAACGCUUCGCUCUUUCUUUUGCUCGAUUUAAAUUAUGUUUAGCAACUUCUUGGGAUCUUUUUAAUUGUUCGUUUAACUCUGCUAAGUAAUACUCAUAAGUUUAAUUUCGUAAAUUAUUUAUGGAGGAGUCAUUUAGUGUUCUGGCUAACUGACCAAAGAUGAGCUUGUGUGGCAUGUAUCGCAUACUUUCGUAUACGCUAGUAUUAUAUGGGAACAUGACUAUUUCUAGCCAGUUGUCCCAAUCGUAAUAGAUAUAAUAUGUUUCAAGAUUUCGAUGAGAGAACUAUCGAUAUUUGUAUAGUCGUUUUCAUCACAUAAUCUCAUCUAUUAUUGUCGCGUUAUUGCGAGUGUCUUGAGUCGCGUAUGCUUCAGUAUUCUCGAAGCUGUUUAUGUUCGUUCUUAUCUUGCUUUUGUGUUUUAACACGUUCAAGCUGGCGUGUACCACGCGCUCGAAUCUUAUAUACGUUUGAAUUUUCCGUCAGAAUGAGUGUAUCAUCAAAAAUUUAGUUCGUUUAGUAGCCAAAAACAAUUACUAUAUAGUUAAACUUUUAAUAAUGGAAAUUUAACUUAUAUUAAUCGAUGUAUAUAUAUAUAACUUACAUUAGUAAUAAAAAAAAGCAUUAAUAUGAGCGCCGCCAUAGAGAGAAACGCAAUAACAAGCCAGCGUGAACGUGUAAGAAGGUUAACGAUUUCUCGAGAUUUCAAGUGUUUGUCUCUCUCUAUAUAUAUAAUUCAUCGUCGCUCAAGCUGGCGCUGACUAUUGGAAAUAUUUAUUUAGAUGACUCCAUCAGGUUCCUCGAUAAGGCGUCCGCGUUUACGUUACACUUUUCUGUUUUGUAAACUAUACUGUACUCAUUUUCAGCGAGUUUUAGUUAGAUGUGGGAUCUUUUACGAAGUUUAGCCAGAUUAAAGGUUUAUGGUCAGUAACAAGACUCUAGAAAGUUCCAUAUAAGUACGGCCUGAAAUAAUUGACUCUACAUAUGAUGGUUAAUAAUUCUUUUUCUAUUGUUGAGUAAUUUUAUUCUGUCUGAUAUAGAAGUCUUGAAGCAUAUGUUAUGGGAAGAUCUUUUUCUAUUUCAUCCUGGCUAAGCUGGCUAAUGCGUCCUAUUGCAUAAUUUGAAGCGUUGGUCAUGACGACGAAUGGUUUUGUGAAGUCGGAGUAUCGUAGUAAUGGUUCCUGACAUAAAAAAUCUGUCAAGAGAGUGAAGACUUUUUCUUGUACCUCUUCCCACUGGAAAGGCACAUCUUUCUUUAAAAAAUUAGUUAAGGGUUUGCUUGUUUAAGAGUAGAAUCUUAGUUAAAAGUUGGCGAUAAACUUACGAAUCCUGAGAAUUGUUUGAUAUUUUUUAGUUUUGUUUGUGUUUUUAAUUGUUCUAAAUCUUGUGAAUUCUUUUAUUGCUUUUAUCUUUUCCGGAUCCGGUUUUAACCUUGUAAAAAUAAUGACAUAGCCCAGGUAAGCCACUUUUUUACAUUUAUCGGGUUGUAGUUUUAGUCCUGCGUUUCUAAAUCUAUUCGAUAAUUUUCGGAAUUUGUCACGUGUUCGUCUAAUGAAUCGAAUAGAUGGCUAUAUCAUCCAGGUAAACGAACAAUUCGUUCCCUUGUAAGCUUGAUAAUAUCGAGUUCAUCAGGCGUUGGAAGAUGGAUGAUGUAUUUUUUAACCCGAAGGGCAUUUGUGUAAACUCAUAAUGCCUGUAUGGGAUAGUGAAAGCUGUUUUUUCCGCGUCUUCUUUACUCAUGCAUAUUUAGUGGAAACCUGAUACUUGGAAACAAUCUAUAAAGGAGAAUUAUAAGAUGAUACGAUACAUCGGUAUCAUCUUAUAAUUCUCCCUUAUGUAUCGUAUCACAUCAAUUUUAAUAAGAUCGUCAAUUUGUUUAUUUAUUUCUUCCUUAUGGAUCGGUGGGAAGAGGUUCUGUUUUACUGACAGGUUAUUCAUUCUGUUUUAUUCACCAGCAUCGAAUUAAUGGUUUCAAUAUUGUGAUCAAUUAUCUUCAUGUGAGUUAAUUUAUCUCGCAAUAAAUGAAAUACAUUGAUCGAGUUCCUAAUCAUGUUUUUCGCUAUUUCUUUUUCGUUAUUUAAUUCGUCUAAUUUUACGUAUCGUAGCACUUGUUCGCAUCGACUUUCGAAAACCUUGGUGAUCGUCUUGUAAGGACAAUCGAUUUGGAAAGAAGUGGAAUUGGCAGUUUCGCUUCGGUUUGGAUCUCCUCUUUGCUACUGAUGGAAUGGUGAUUUAAGAUCGAUUCGGUCGCACGUUUACCUUGCUCUAGAGCAGAUAAUUCCGAUGUGUCGAUGUGUAACAGAUCCCCACUAUAAUCUUUCGAGUGGACAUGUGCAAGAGAAGUCAUGCUGGGGCAAAAUUGUUGUGUCUCGAACACGUGUCCGUCAUAUCCUAGAAAUGGCACAUUGUGUUCGUCAGCUCUUUCGAAUAUUUCCAGCUGAACCGUUGGAAUCGUUAUUUUCACGUCUGUUUCGUUCGUGUUAAAUAUUUUGAUAUUUACACGUCCAUUCGUAUUAGUGACGAUGGCUUCACCGACGUAAAUACCAUCGCCCAGAUUCAGAGAGGGAAUACAAGCCGUUUUGACUUGGUUAUUGAGCAUUUUAAGACGUCGCAGAUUCUUCCUGCGAUCGUUUGCUGUUCUAGUCCUACGAAUGGCAUUAUAAUUUCCACGAUACAUUUUUCUCCAUGAAGUUUAUCUUAGCGAGUUCCUAAAAAAGUCCGCUUCGAAGAAUGGGAAGGAGUUUGGGACUACGUAAAAUUCUACGGGAUGUCCGUACAUGUCGACAAUACAAGAGCCAUAAGUUGUUAUUGUUUCUUCAAUAAUACCGUUUGGUAUGAUUUUGUUGAUUUCUUCGCAUAACAGAUACUCGACCGCUUUAUUGAUCUUGAGGAUGUUGGGUUCGAAACCCUGUCUACUAAAAACGUCGUUUUUUGUUUUAAAUCUUUUGAAGAGAUAACGAUUGAUGAAAUGCUCGAAUCUUGAUUUAAGUGAAUUGUGUGGACGUCGAUAGAACGUCUGCUGUUACGGUUAUUGUUGGGCGCUGUUGCUGGUUCGCCUCCAAAGGUGCGCCUUUCCUUGGAGGGUUGUUCGCCUUUUCCGAAUUCUUAUCAUUCCUUUCCGAAUUUUUAUCAUGCCAUAGUUUUUUCCGGCAUUCGUCUAUAUUAUGGUCUAUGUUCUUGUAAUAUCAACAUAUUUUUUUUGAACUAUAGGAGUGGGAUCGUAAUUAAUAUAGAGGAGCGGGAGAUGAAGAGGGGAAGAUUGAGGAGGGCGAGGAGGCGAGGAGGACUUUCUUCGCUUUGAAUUUGCUGUUCCCGUUUAAAUUUAUAACAUUCCUUUUUAAUGUGCCCUAGCUUCUUACAAUAAGUGCAUGUUUUAGGUAGCAGAUUCGAGCUUAUCGUUCACGUGUUUCUAUCACUAGUUCCAAUUUUAUCUAAUUUUAUUCCAGUUUCGUGGUUGCUAGUGAUCAUGUUAUCGAAUCUGUUUAAAUCUUCUUCCAUGUAGGAUUGCCGUGCCUUGACGAAGGUGUCUAGGAGGUCAUCGCACACGUUAGAAAUUAUUUUUAAUCUAUAAUUUAAAGGAAGGCCAUGACAGAAGCUAAUCAAUGUAAAUUCAUCGCUUUUUUUUGUCUUCCGUCAGUUCAUGCAUGUCUUAUAUCGCUCUUCAUCAUGGAUCGUUUGAUGGAAAUCUUUUAACCUAUCCAUGAAGACGAGAAUGCGUUCAUCUUGUCCUAUAUAAAUGCCACUCAGCUCAGUUCUGGACUAUUGUGAAGAUCUAUUUCGAACAAAAUCUCCGCACAAUGUAUUGCAGAGUUUGUCGCUCGAGUAUAUGUUGAAAUCUUCCACAAUCGAGUAUGCACUCCUGCCUAAUCUUAAUAGAUUAAGCGAGUCACCGUUUUUUCUAUGUCAUCAGGGAUCAAUUCGCGAGUCCGUUUGCAAGUCCACGUAAAUGUAACGAAGGGGAUGUUAUAUCCAUCAUAUUGAGGUAUACUAAUUGCUUCUCUAAUUCAGAAAUAAUGUGUUUCACGUAUACAAUGCGUAAUAUGCAUCGUCUGCUGCGUAGGGAUGACUUCGGGUUUAACUGCUCUCACUCGUAACGCUUUCUCACGUUUACGAACAACUCCUUUUCGUUCCUGCAGCAGUAGCCAGUUUGUCUGAGCUUGAUCGCGAUAUCUUCAACCUCUACGUCACUUAUACGCCUAAUACCGCUUCGUGUUCAUCUUUCCAUUUUGUCGACCGGUUUAGAUUGGUUUUGACCUGCUUGCUCGUUUGACAUACUGUUUUCGAGAAUUUCACCGCUGUCACCAGAAAUUUUAAUUUUGUUUGUUAGGUUUCACGAAGCACGGGCCUCGGGGAAAUUAAAUUUCGUUUUUCCUGCAUCAUAAGAUUAUGUGAUCUUUUGGCUUUUACUUGCUGAUCACGUGACGUUUCAGCAAUAAGAAUUGGCUGACGGGGGUUCCACUCUUUGAGCUAGAAUCCACUCCUUUGGUUAUUGGAGUAAAUGUAUUUACCGCCGGAUAAGUUGAUUCCUUUGUCCUCGGCUCGAUUAGCUCGAUUCCAGAGGGAAUAGAGAUGAUUGGCGACGAAAUUGUAUGAAAGAGUUUGUCGACUCUGUUGCGAAAAACAAAUUUCUCCAUCGCGUUUAAGCGACUUAUAAUCGAACGAAUUAAAUGUUGAAUUAUAAUUCGACAUGAAUUAGAAGAGUGAGUCGUUUCCGUAGGCACAAUCGGGAUUAUUGACUUAGACUGUUUGAACAAUAUUUAAUUUAUUCAUAAUCAACAAAUAGAUAUAACUGAACAAAAUAACGGUCUGUAUUGGAUUUAAAAUAAUAUUCGAGAUAAUAAUCGUAAAAAAAUUAAAUUGACUAAAUCGUAUAAUCGUAUCGGAAAGGACUAAUCGAAUAAUCAGUACUGUGAAAAACGACGUAAUAAUCGUGUAUUGUGAGAAUCUAAGAGCAUAAAUCGUAGAAAAAGAAAUAAUCUGAGCAAAUAAUCGUAGAAACGAAGUGUGCAGCCGAUUGAAUAGAGAACGUUGAUCAAUCAUCGAGGAAUGAUUUGUCGCGGUAUCGUCAUUGGCUCGUUGUGGCUCUUCCCUUAGCUGGCAACGGAAUCUCCAAUAAAAUUCCCUUUGGUACGGUGAUUGCGACGCUUGUAUACAUUUAUACUAAAACAUAUGUCUAAUUAUUAUAUUAUAUUAUCCAAUUAUUAUAUAUUAUAUUAUCUAAUUAUUAUAUUAUAUUGCUUAAGGUAAGUUUCCAUUUUAAUUCUAAUUUAAUUAGAUUUAUAAAGUGAGAUGGUGCUUAUUCGUAGUUAUGUCUGGAAAAAUUUGGAAUUUAUUUAUAAUUUCUAUUUUACAGUUUCAGAUCGGCGUAGAACGUAGCACUUUCUUCCUUAUUUGAAAUGUACAUACAUAUAUGUGCAUUUUAGACACAAUCGUUGAUUAUGUGUUUCAGUCCCAUAUAUUUUUUAGUUCUAUUUGAAUUUUCUGUGGUUUCCUUCUUUUUUGUGUGUUGCACAUGAUUCCGAAGUGGUUUUGUCCCCUUCUGUCUUCUCCGGUCUUCUGGUUAGUUGAAUUAAAAAAUGGUGAAUGAACCUUAUUAUGUGGAAAUUUCACAUGUAAAUGUUGUGUAACGCAUAUCCCUGUAGAAGAGUUUUAGCGAUGUAUUUGAUAAGCCGGAAAAUUAUGAAAAUUGCAAGUAUGCCAGCACUUAUUGAUCCAAAAGUAACAAAUACUUUCUAGAAUCGUUCACUUGUACAUGCAGCGAUUUUAUUUAGAGUUUUCGUCCAUAAAAUUGUACAAUAAAAUCUUUCCUGUCGUUAUCUACUUUCCGCUAUUUCUCUGGCGAAUGUGUUAAGGGUGACGGGUUUUUCUAUUGUGUCCAUGAUGUGCGUAAUUUGUAAAGAUCUUCAUUUGAAUAAAUCCCAUUGAUUCCCUGGUGUUCAAGAUCGAUGUACCUCUAGUUAGGUUUAAUCAAAGAUUGUAUUUUUACCAUAUGGCGCGUAAAUUGUACAUAUUGGGAAGUAACUUGUUGCAAUUCCUUAGUGAACCUUCUUUCAAAAUUAUGCGCGUUUUUGGAGCCAAGAAGUACGACUUGUUUUGAUAUAUUAUAAGUAACUCCCCGUAACAGUCCUAUACUUGUAUUUUUACUUCAGUUGUGACACAUUUGAUUAGAUGAAUAACUCCUAUUAUCAAAAUUGUUUGGUUUUUUCAAUAUCUUGUUUUUUUUUUUAUUACAGUGUAAAGCAUUGUGUCUAGAGCAAUAAAUACAAACAACAGUUUUUUAGUACAUAUUCUAGAAUACAUUUUUAUUUUAUUAUAUCCAGAUAUAGCGUAGUUAACUACGUUGUAAUGUAUUCUUCUACAUAUAUAAAUUUCGGUUAUAUUAAUUGAUCCUAAAUUUUUUAGCCACAGUUUUCGUCAAUUCCAAUAAGAAACUAGUGCCUUGGUCGAUUAGAACGGGUGCACUAAAACAACAAAGGAAAUGCUUUAUGAAUGCGUUGACUAUUUCGUUAAAAGAAGCUUGUGAUAGGGGAAUAGCUAACGAAUAUUUUAUUAAAAAAUCUUGAAUAUUUUGAAAAUGUAACUAUUUCGCAUUGAAGUGCUGGACGAAGAACCCACGAUGUCCAUUAACAUUUUGUUUGAAAUAUCCCGAAGUAUCCGUGAUCGUCACAGGCUGAUUUAUUUUUAAUUUUACGAGUUUCCUUGUUUGAUAGCUUCGGUAAUUUUGUACAUAAUUUUAUACAUCGAUUUUUAGUUUAAGCCAGAAAUAUUUUUGUCUGAUUCGAGAAUACGUUUUAGUGACACCUUUGUGUCCGCCCAUUGAGUUAAAUGAUUAUCAUGUAUAAUUUGGAUACGUUCAAUUUCCUUGGGUAUAAUCAUUUCAUUUUUCAAAAUUAAAAUUUUUGUUUCACAGCCCGAAAAACUUAAACGAAAUUUGGAUUUUACGUUGACCCAGAGUACAUCGCCCACUGGUUCUUUAAAUAUAGCUAUGGUUUUUAAUCGUUAAUUCGAGAGCCGCGUUAAGAAAAGAAUGCAACGCUUCAUCUAAUAUUAAUAACUACGUCGAUACAGACAUUCUUCCCUGACGGGUAAUACUAUGAAAUAUCGUCCAUUCUUUUUCGUGAUUUUCAUUCUCCCUAGUGUGACUUCGGAAAUAUAUGGGUUUAUUGUUGUUGAUUAAUUUUUUUCCUCUGAUAUUUAGAGGAGCGCCACUUGUAGUCGUGAAAUACGUCAUGUGCCGGUUGUACAUUGUUAUUCGUUUCGAAUUUCUAUAAGGGGGCUGUCAACGUGCGUAUAGUCAUUUUCGUCAGAUGUGAUCUCGUUAUCGUCGUGAGGUCUGUUUGCGUUAUCAUAUGAGUCUUGGAUCCCGUGUAUUUUGACGUUUUCGGAGUUGUAUACAUUUGUCCUUUCUUUGUUCUCUAUUUCAGGAAGGUCGACGGUUCCUUGGGAUCUUGAGUGUUUAUUAUUUGUACUUAAGCCGACUAGUGGGAGGGACUAUUGUUUGGACGUUUUGACCGGAUUCCUGGAUAGUGCAUCCUCGUUUACAUUAUGUGUUCCGGCUUUGUAAAUAAUGAUAUAAUCAUGUUCAGCUAAUUUCAAUCGCCAUUGGAUUAACCUAAAGGUUGAAUUUUUUACUGAAUUAAGCUAGAUUAAAGGCUCAUGGUUGGUGACGAGGCUGGAAGAGGUUGCAUAUAGGUAUGACCUGAAGUGAUUAACUGUGUAUAUGAUAGCAAAUUUCUUUUCUAUAGUCAAAUAAUUUUGCACAGCCUGACUUAAGAGCUUAGAAACAUACGUGAUGGAGAGUUCUUUUUCUAUUACGCCCUGGCUGAGGAUACCUCUUAUUGCGUAAUUAGUUGUGACAGUUUGGUAAAAUCAGGAUAUUGUAAUAGAAGUUCCUGACGUAAGAGAUCUUUCAAGUAUAUCUUUCCAUUUGAAAGGUACGUUUUUCUUUAAAAGAUCAAUUAAGGAUUUGCUUAUAAAAGUUAACGAUAAACUAUCGGUAGUAGCUUGGAAGUCCUAAGAACUAUUUGACGUUUUUAGUUGUCUUACGUCUUGGGAAUUCUUUUACCGCUCUUCUGUUUUCAGGAUCCGGUUUUACCUCUGUAGAACUAAUGAAGGCACAGAUAAGCCACUUCCUUACUCAGAAAAUUACAUUUAUCAGUUAUAAGUUUAGACUUGUGCUUCUAAAUCUAUCCAAUAAGUUCCUAAAUUUGAUCAUGUGUUCGUCUAAAGAACUAAAAUAGAUGAUUAUGUCAUCCUAGUAGACGAAUAAUUCGUUCUCCUGUAGACAUGAUAGUACCUAAUUCAUCAGGCGUUGGAAGAUGGAUGGCGUAUUUUUCAAUCCAAAGUAUAUUCGUAUAAAUUUGUAAUGCUCGUAUGGCGUAGUAAAGGUGGUUUUUCUGCGUCUUUUUCACUCAUAGGUAUCUGAUAAAAACCAGAUGCUAAGUCGAAGGUAUCAAAAUACUUUACACUACCCAGUUGGUCUAAAAUUUCCGUUAUGUCAGGCAACGGAUAACUAUUUGUUUCUUGUUAAGCGCUUGAUAGUUUAUCACGAGUUUCCUUCUUUUAUUUCCGUUUGCGUCCGCUUUUUCAGAAACGAUCCAUAAAGUGGAAUUAUACUGUGAUACUGAUACGCGUUUCACAUCGUUUUUAAUACUAUCGAUUUGUUUAUUAAUUUCCUCUUUAUGGAAAGGUGGAAACCGAUAUUAUUUUUCCGUGACCGAGAUAGAAUCGAUAGUUCGGACAUUAUGAUUGAUUAUCUUCGUAAAAGUGAGUUUGUCACCUGGUAGAUGAAAUAAAUCGGCAGAAUCCAUGAUCAUGCGUUUUACUACUUCUGUUUCCUCCUUAUUUAAUGAACCUAGCUUUAUAUAUUGCAGUACUUGCUCAUAUUCGCUUUCGAAAGUUUUGGAGAUUGUCUUGCUGGCAUGAUCGAUUUGGAAGGAGGAGGAAAUGGAAUUGACAGUCUUGUUUCGGUUUGGAUCUCCCUUUGUUUUGUUAAUGAUAGAGUGGUAAUCUGAGAUUGAUUCGGUCGCGGGUUUGCCUUAGGGAAGAUAAUUCCGGCGUAUCAAUGUGUACCAGACCCUCAUUACAAUCUUUCGAGUGGAUACGUGCAAGAGGAGAGGUCACACUGGGAGAAAAUUCUUGCAUCUCGGACAUGUGUACGUUAUGUUCUAGGGAUAACACAUCGUGUUUGUCAGCUAUCUCUAAUUCUUCCAACUGAAUUGUUGGAAUUUUUAUUUUUAUCCUUUUCGUCCUUUUCAUUUGUGUUGAAUAUCUUAAUAUUUGCGCGUCUAUUUACAUUAGUGACAAUGGCUUUAUCAACAUAGAUAUUAUCGCCCAAAUUUAAAGAAGGAAUAUAACCCGUUUUUACUUCAUUAUUAAUAAUUUUUAUUUCUACAACGUCGCAAGUUCUUCCUGUGAUCGUUUUUAUCUUCUAACUCUACAAAAGGCAUUAUAACUCAUUCUCACGAUACAUUUUUCUCCAUGAAAUUUAUUUUAGUCGAAUUUUUAAAGAAGUCUGCCCCGAGUAUACCCCCGUGAGGGAUAGGGAAGAAGUUCAGGAGUAUAUGAAAUUCUACGGGAUGUGCGUAGAUGUCGACAAUAUAAGAGUUUAGAUUGUUAUCGUUUCUUCAGUGAUAUUAUUGUUCAGUUUGAUUUUGAUUGCUUCGUCGCAUAAUAAAUAGUCGUCAGCUCUACUGAUUUUAGGAUUUUAGUUUCAAAAUCCAUAUCUACUAAGAAGGUAGUUUCUUGCUUUAGAUUCUUUGAAACGAUAAUUGAAGAAAUAUCCUCUGUUAAUAAUCAACGAGACUUCCGUCGCAAUGGCUAUUAUCGGGCACGGUUAUUGUUUUGUCUCCAAGAUCGCAUCGUGCUUCGAUUACCACGUUUCCCGAGUUCUUAUUGUACCAUUAUUUCUGAACGGCAUUCAUUUAUCGUAUGAAUCCUCAACUUCUACCAUUUCUGCAUCUAGUACCUCUUCACAUUUCCAACUCGUCGACUGGUUUAGAUUGGCUUUAAUCUGUCACUCGUUUGACAUGCUGUUUUCAAGAAUCCCAUUGCUGUCAUUAGAAAUUUUAAUUUCGUUUGUUACGUUUUACGAAGCAUCAUAGACCUCAGGAACAUUCAAUUUCCUUUGACGAGUUCCUGCGUCAUAAAAUUAUGUGCCCUUUUAGCCUUUAUGCAGUUCUAUGACACGGGACUGACACCUAACAAUACAUAAGUCAAACGAAGUACAUAAGCCAAUAAAGUAGUACUUAGCUCAGGCUUUGACGAAUGGGAAGGUUGUGAUCUACUUCUGAUCAGGUCUCGAUUCUGAUCAUGAGACGUCUCGGCAAAGAAGAUUGGCUGACAGGGACUCGAUAUUAGAAUCCACUCCUUUGAUUGGUGGAUUAAAUGUUGUUACUGCUGGAUAAGUUGAUUUCUUUGUCCUCGACUCGAUUGGCUCGAUUUCAGAACGAAGUAGAGAUGAUUGGCGGGGAAAUUAUAUGAAAGAGAUUGUCGAUUCUAUCGCAGAAAACGAAUUUCUCGGCGUUUAAUCGACUUAUAAUCGAACAAAUUAGAUGUUGAAUUGAGAUUCCUUUCGAAAUAAAUUAGGAGAAAAGUGAAUCGUUUCCGUAGGCACAACUGAAAUUAUUGAUUUAGACUGUUUCAACAAUACUUGAUUUAUUCAAGCCACAAUAACAAAUAGAUACAAUUGAAUAAGAAUAACAACUAUAAUAAUAAUAUAAUAUAAUAACUAUAUAAUAAUAACGGAAUACUGGUUUUAAGAGAAUAAUAAUCGAAAAAAAACAAUUGUUUCAAGUAUAAUCGUGUCGAAUAAUCUGUAAUAUGAAAAUCGAAGUAAUAAUCGAAUUGAAUAAUCCUAAGGAAAAGACUAAGCGAAUAAUCAAAGAAAUGGCGUGUGCAGUCGGUUAAAUAGAGAGUGUUGACCAGUCAGCGAAGGAUGCCUUGCCGCUGUAUCAUCAUUGACUCGCAUGGUUCUAACUGGAGGCGGAGAUCUCUAAUGAGACUUCCUUUUGGUACGGCGGCUGUGAACUCUUGAAGCGCGGCGUGCUGGUGGUGAGGAUGAGGCCGUGAACUUGUCGCACGUGUAUCGUAGUUCCAGGUUGGCGUAGGACGUAACAUCGGCUUGACAUUCUGUUAGGUGUCAGUUCCGUAUCAUUGAACUGCAUUCAACGAGGGAAGGCCAAAAGGGUACAAAAUCUUACGUCACAGGAGCUCCUUUAGGAAAUUUAAUUUUUCUCGAGAAUCAUGCUUAGGUGAGACAUAAUAAACAUAAUACAAUGAUAUACAUCGUCCGUUCGGUGUCGCGAAACACGAUUUUAAGGAAGUAAUUAACACGGUGUCUCAGUACGACGGAUAUAUCUCCAUCACUACGUUUACGCGGGCUUGUAAACAAGCUCGCGAAUUAAUCCUUAUUAACGCGGAAGAAUCCAGUUGAUCAUUAACAAAUUACGCAGGCGAGUGUACUCGGCUGUAAAAGAUUUCAAUGUACACUCGAUCAACAGUCUCUGUGAUAUAUUUGGUCGGAAUAGAACAUUGUAAGAGCAUAAAGCUGAACUAAAGAGCAUCUAUAUGGAUCAAGAUGAACAUAUUCUUGACUUCAUAAAUAGGGUAAAAGACUUUCAUUAAACGAUUCGCGACGAAGAACGAUACAGGACGCACAAAUUAACGAAAGACAAACUUAAAAAAAUCUAAAAACUAUUAAAAAAAUGAGUUUAUGUUGAUUAGUCUCUUUGACGGCCUUCUGCUGCAUUACAAAUUAAAGAUAACUCCCAACAUGUGCGAAGACCUUGACAUCUUCCUCGAGGCACGGCAGUUUUACGCGUAAGUAGAACAAGACAGUCAAAAACAUCGACAACUGCAAAAUUUUUGGAACAGACCGACGACCUCUAACCGCGAUAGAGGAGGGAUGAACGAAACAUAUGCACAAUAAAUUCAAACCAACAAUUUAGGAGCAAAAAGCGUCUUCAUGGGGACCAUCCUCCCCAUCCUUCAUAUCGAACACAAUCCGAUUCAUAUAGUCCAAGAAAGGAAUACCAAUAUUGCAAGAACCUGGGUCACAUAAUAGAUCAGUCUAGAAAAAAAUUGUGCUAUGAUAAAAACUCGGGAAACGCGGUAAUCCCUCCGAAGCAAGGUGCGUUAUAGCAAGUUACUUGGAGAUAAAUCUACAACUGCGUCCAAUAAUGACCAUUGCAACAGACGUCCCAUCGACGUCCAAACCAUCCAUUUAAGCCAAGAUCCGGAAAUGCUAUCAGUUGUCAUUUCCUCAAAAGAUCUGGAAGAAGAAAAACAGUUUUUAGGAAAUACGGUUUCGAACGCAACAUUCUCAAAAUUAGUAAGACCGAUGAUUAUUUUCUCUGCCACGAAGCGUAUAAGAUCAAAUUUAAGCAGUAUUAUUAACGAAAUGAUAACGUUCAUAUACUCUCGAUAUGUAUGGACAUUCUGUAGAAUUCAGAUUUUUAAAAAAAUUCGUCUAAAAUAAAUUUCAUGGAGAGAAACGUAUCGUGGAAGGGAAACAAAAAAGCUCGAUAGAUUAUCAACCCUUUUGAUUACACAAAACCAAGAUAGAACCGAAGAGGUAAAUAUAAACAGCUUCGAGAAUAUUGAAGCACGCGUAAUACAAAACGCUCACGAUAAUGUGACCGAUAACAGAAUUGACGAUGAUAUGAUUACGUGGUGAAAACGACUACACGCAUAUCGAAAGCCUUCUCAUCGAAAUCCAAGAUCGCGUAACCAUGAACAAUAGACACCUAGCAUAUUUUACGACCCUAAGUGGCGUUUCUCUAGAUGUCGGAGCGAAAGAAUUAGCUGAUACCGGUAAAUUACUAUUUUGGAAGUUACCCUCGGGAGAGUUAAAGUCACAAAGCGUAAUGAAAGAUAUUUUAUAGCAUUACCCGUCAAGGAAAGAAUAUCGAUAUCAACGCAACUAGAGAAGCUAGACGAGGCUUUGCAUUCUCUCCUUUAUGUGACUUUGGAAUUACAAUUGGAAACGAUAGGCAUCUCUAGAGGACCAGUGGGUUAUCUGAGCCAUAUCAUUAGCACCACAGAGAUAAAACUCGAGGAAAACAAAAAAGCAGUAAAGGAAUUUCCAAAUUUCCUAGGACAACCAAAAAUAUUAAAAUCUUAGAACUCCCAGGCUAUUACCGAAGGUUUAUCAACAAUUUUUGCUUUAUAAGCAAACGUCUUACUAAUCUCUUAAAAAAAAACAUACCUUUCAAGUGGGAAGAAGUACAAGAAGAGGUCUUUAAUUACUUGAGGGAUCUUUUAUGCCAGAAAUCUUUCUGCAAUAUCUUGAUUUCACCAAACCGUUUGCCGUCACAACAGAUGCUUCUAAUUAUGCAAUAGAAGGCAUCUUCAACCAGGACAAAAUAGGGAAAGAUCUUCCUAUAGCAUACGUUUCUUAACCAUGCAGAACAGAACUACUCAACGAUAGAAAAGGAACUUCUGACUAUCAUUUAAAACCAUACUUAUAUGGAACCUCUUUCAGCCUCGUCAUUGAUCAUGAUGAUAAGCCCUUACUCUGGCUUAAUUCAGCUUAAAGGAUCCCACUUGUAGAUUAAUCCGAUGACGAUUAAAGCUAGCCGAAUAUGAAUACAACAUUAUUUACAAAGUAGGAACGCGUAAUGUAAAUGCGGAUGCAUUAUCCAGAAAUCCGGUCGAAAUGCCUAAACAAGUACUCUCAUUAAUCGGUUCUAGCACGAAUAAUAAAUACUCGAGACUUCGAAGAUUUCUCUUGAAAUAGGGAACUAAAAGAAAAUAAAUAUAAACAACCUUGAAAACAUCGAAGUAUACGUGACCCAAGACUCACACGAUACGCGGACAAUGACAUACUUUACGACAACGACGAGAUCACAUCCGAUGUCAUGUAAAACGUUAUCUCCAACAAUGCACAAUGGGCAUGUAGCUUAUUUUAUGAACACAAGCAAUGCUCCCCUAUAUAUCGCAGCAAAAGAAGGCCGAUAACAGUAAAUUAACCGAUAACAGUCAAUCUCCGAAGUUACGUUAGAGAGAGUGAAGGUCACGAAAUAAAAUGAAAGAUAUUAUUUCAUAGCAUUACCUGUCAAGGGAAGAAUAUCUUUACCGAUUCAAUUAGAAAUAUUAAACGAAGCAUUACAUUCUCUCCUUGACGCGGCUUUUGAAUUAAAAUUGAAAACGAUAAGUAUUUCGUUCAAUUUUUUCGGGCAGUCAAACCAAAAUUUUAUAUUUGAAGAAUGAAAUAAUCAUAUCCAAGUAAAUCGAACAAGAUUAGAUCAUUUACGUGAAUCAUACAAUUUUAAUAGGACAUAAAGGAGUUACUAAAACAUACGUUAAAACAUAUUUUUGGCCAAAAUUAUAAACAAACGUAUAAAAUUAUAUACAGAAUCGCCGAAGCUAUCGGACGAAGAAGUGCGUGAGAUUAAAAUCAUGAGCACCAGCCCAUGACGAUUAUCGACACUCAGGACAAAGCGUUCGACAAAAUUUUAAUGGACAUUGUGGAUUCUUUGCCCACCACUACAAUGGGAAAUAGUUACAUUUUCAAGAUAUUCAAGAUGUUUUAACAAAAUAUUCAUUAGCUAUUCCCCUACCGCAAGUUUCUUUUAACGAGAUAGCCGACGCAUUCAUAAAGCAUUUCAUUUGUCAUUUUAGUGCACCCAAAGACAUUCUAAUCGACCAAGGCACUAGUUUCUUAUCAGAAUUGACAAAAACUGUGGCUAAAAAUUUAAAAUCAAUCAAUAUCAGACAAGCGCCUAUCACUCUCAAUCGAACGGGUCAAUAAAGUGAUUACAUCAUGUAUUAAUAGAAUUUUUAAAACAUUUCGUAUAUGAUAAUUACGAUUGGUACAACUAGCUAGAAAUAGCCAUAUUCUCGUAUAAUACUAGCGUACACGAAGGUCACAAUAUAUGUCACAUAAGAUCGUCUUUGAUCAGUUAGCCAGAACCCUAAAUAAUUAAUUUGUAAACAACUUACGAAACGAAACUUAUGUAUAUUACUUAGAGGAACUAAAUGAACAAUUAGCCAAAUCUCACAAAUCUACCAAACAUAAUUUAAAUUCAAGCAAAGGUAAGAUCGAAAUACUAUUACGAUAAAAAGCAGAAAGAGGUACAUUUCAAACCAGGAGAUCGUAAUGAAAGGAAAAUUCAACACCCAAUAUUUAGGACCUUAUGAAAUUAUCUAUUUAAAAAGAAAUUAACAUAAAAAUCCAAAUGAAUCCAGGCACUCACAUAGUGCAUCCUAACUGCUUAAAGCUGGAUAAGUCGUAACGCUAAUAAAUUGCCUUAGGGAGAUUAUAUGAUCGAUAUACGAUCUUAAUAAAGCACAGCAUGACGCAUUGUUCGAUCUCCCCUCCAUGCGACGAUUGAUAAAGGUUCCCACUACUUCACCAGUUGAUAAAUUAGUAUUUAAACAGCGUAAACGUAACUCCAAAUACCAUUUACUUAUCGACUCUCUGAUCGAAGUUAUUAAAUAGAAAUGAAGUUUAUGAUUCUAAUUAUCUUUGUAAACGUGGCGAAUAUAUUAAUCGGAUACGGAUUUCUCUCAAUAUAUCGAUUUUUUUUAUUAGACGUGGCAGAAUGCGAAGCAUCUAACCUACAAAUGAUUAACAACACGAUUUUUAUACAAUUGUUAUAAUCAUCAGAUUAUAAUAUAGUAAAUAUAUCGAAUGCCGAAUAGAAAUCGACAGGACCAUUUUCCAUUGUGGCAUGCACUCGCACAUCUCCUUAGUACAUAAUGAACAAAGGGAAUAUCUACAUCCAUCAGCUAUGCCAGCAAUUGCACACGACGGGAAAUCUUUCACUAAAGGCAAACGCCCUUCUCUCAGGUUUGAAGAACAAUAUGGACACAUGAAGCCUUGCUCUUAGUGGCACUGUUUCUACAAGUACACAAGUUCCACACCUGCAAAGGGUCUCAAUGUAGCGACCCAUAGGCACAUGAGACGACGUGGUCGUCCAAAUAUUCGUAAAAAUUACGUUAUACGACUAUUAUGCCGCCAUUAAAACUUAGAACAAUCAAAUUCUAUUAAAAUCUGGAACCACCUGCAUUCUAACAGAAAAGACAUAAUAAAAGAGAAAUGAAUUUCGGAACAACAGAUAUUAAAACACAUUCUCAUUAACAUCCAUUGCUUUAGACGAAAUGGCUUAUACUGUAAUGAAGAAGCCAGGCUAUAUGGCAAUUUGGCAGCGGAAGUGAUUUAUCUAAUUAGAGAGAAAACCAGAAAGGGUAAAAGGAGAUAAAGAUACUUCGGAAUCAUGGAUGACGCGAAGUUGAGGGAGCAGGAGAAAAUUCAGGUAGAACUAGGAAAUAUAUAGAACUGAAUUGUAUACUCGACUAUUGUGUUUAAAAUGCACAUAUACAUAUAUACAUUUUCAAAUAAGAGGGAAGUAUAAUGUCUUACACCAACCUGAACUUAUAUGUUGAAAGUUGGAGCGGGAAUCUACCUUACAUGGAAUCAUAAUUAUUUAUUCGUAUAUCUUUAUUCACUAAUAUAUACACUUUAAUAUACAUAUAUACAUAUAUGUUACAUAUAUAAUAUAUUUCAGUAAUACGAACAUUAUAUCUUAUAAAAGUUUACAUUAAAUGUUUACAUUAUAAAAUAUAUAUGUUAAUAACUUUUAUAGUAAAAAGCGACACAACUUUAGCUAAAUUAGAUGUACGAGGAGUGGGGGAACGGCAGAUACCAACCAUGCGCAAAAUAAACAUGACGAAUUCAUGGAACCUCGGAUAAUAAUUUUUUAAUACGAACUCGCGUUAUAAAUUUUUUUUUAUUUAUAUUAUAUAUUAGGUACUAAUCAGAGAUUAUUUGGGUAUAUUUUGAAUAUAUUUAGAUACUAAUUGGAACAAAUGGAAAUUAAACAAAUUUGUAUUUGCGACAUGUAUCUAUGUCCAUAUCAUUAUUAAUGUAAAUAAAAAAAUAUCAUUAUUAAUGAAUUACUUUAUUUUCUUCUACGAUAUUAUUGAUUAAGCACUUUGACAAAAUUUUAAUUUCUUGGCUAAAUACGAGAAAUAAUGAUCCCCUUAUCAUUUAUAAAUAUAUAUUACGAAAGAAUAUUUUCUGUCUAUACGUUUGUAAGAUUUUAUGCCUUGAAUUCUUAUGAUUACAAUUUUUAUCCGAUUUUGAUAAUCAAGUGCUCGUUCGAAAGAUAAAGGUUUUGUACACGAGAAAAUCUUAUUAGAUUUUCAAAAUAGACUUUUACACAAUACACUGCAUGAACAUUUCUCUUGAAAAUUAGAUAUUUUUAGAUAUGGCUUUAGAAAAAAAACUUUUCUGAAAAAUCGGACAUAAUUAUCUCAUGUAAAAAACCUUUACCUUUCGAAUGAACCCUUGAUCAUCAAAAUCCGACAUAAAUUGCAAUCAGGAGAAUUUAUGAAGUAAACGCUUGCAAUACGCUACAUGGAUUUUAUGCAUUGUAUAAAAGAUAUGCUUGCAUUGUUAUGCUAUUUUAUAUCGAGAAAAUGACGCAUGUCAGUUGCGUCUAAUAUUAAUUUAUUAUAUUACUUUUUUUGAAGGAUCAAAUAAAUUUUUUGAUAGUUAUUUCUAUAAUGAAUAAAAGUAGUUAGUGAUAUAUCAUUGUUUAUAAUCUAUUAGUAAUAAUUAACCUCCGGAAUAAUGUAAUAAUUAUUACCGUGUGUCUACUUGUUAAUGAUUUGUUUUCUUGUUACUUUGCUUUUUCUUCAAGCUAAUAAACAAUAUUUACUAGAUGUUGUAAGAAAAUACAGGCCGCUUUACUGAUUAAAGACUUACCGAUUUGUGGAUAGUUUUAUACAUUUAUUAGGCUUAUGAUCAAAUUCGGAAUACAGAUUUAUAAUUGGUCUUAUGAAAUGUCGAAUAUGUAUUAUUAUUUAAUUAAUGAUCUUAUAGAUUUCAGUAUACAGACUUUACAGAUUGCAGAAUACGGACUUUACAGAUUUUAAAAUAUGGACUUAUUACUUAAUUAUCGCCUUCACUGAAUACAGACUAGGGGCUAACUGUGGACAUACUAUCUAAUUGAUGACUGGUUUUACAGAAAGACAAAUACUGACUGCUUUUACAAUGUUGCCGAGGACAAAAGUCUGUUUUCUAAUGGGAAGGAAGAUCUGGUUGACCCUAAAAUUCAUAGAAGUCCUUGAAGUGUAUGUUUAGAAGGGAAGAAAUUGGAGAUCUAAAUCAUUUAUGAUUCAGGAGUUGAUUUUGAGCACAUGUGUGGCUUAAAGAUCUAAUAAUUAAGGAAAGUUAACAAUGUCACAAUAGGAUAUCGAGAGUUUGUUUCGAGAAUUAUAAAAGUUAUCUAUCUACCUCUUGUUUAAAUGAGUUUCUAGAUUAUGCAUUCCUAAACUUCAGGGAAGAAAAUAUCGAACGUAAAUGAAGAAAGCUGUAUGCAGAACGUAAAAAAUUAUUAAUAUUAUUAUAGAAAAUUAAUACUCUUAAAUAUAUUAAUAAUAUUAUUAAUAUUAUAACAUAAAUAUUUUAUUAGUUUAUAUUUAUUAGUUUUUUAAGUAAUGGAUUUUAUUAAAUAAUAUUUAAUAAAAUUUAUUAUUAUUAUAAUGAAUUGUUUUAGAUAGAAACAAAAAGAAUAAUGCACGUAACAUCAAUCGAGCAUGAGAAGAACGUCAAUAUCUAUUUAAAAAUCGUUCGUAUUUCUCUUACACAAUAUAUAAUGGUAUUGUACUAGCUAUUCUGUAGAAAUUGACGAUCAUACAUUGUCUGAUGUCUCAUCAUCAACUCAAUUCUUCAAUUCACGCGCAGUGAUAAUUAAAGUCACACAUAUCUCGAGCGAUAUUGGAUAAACAUCUUCAAAAUAGGCUUCUAUUUGUGUGAAAAUUACUCAUGAAAAUUAUCUAUUUUCAAAUAUGAUUUUUGCAAAGAAACUAAUAUUUUUUAAAAAUCGGAAUAGUUUAUUAAAAUAAUUACAUUAUCUUGUGUAAAAGCUAUUUGUAUUUUUCAAUUCAGCGAUUAAUCACCAAAAUCGGAUAAAAAUUGUGAUCAUGUGAAUUCAUAAUUAAUUUUGCUAAUUAAUAAUUUCCUAAUGCUAACGCAUAGGGAGAAAAUAUAUUUUUAGGAAUAUAAAAUUUGUCUGCACCUGUCGAAUUUAAUCAUAAAAUUCUAUAUCCUUUAUAAGAGGUGUAUUUAUAAAUUAUAUAUAUAUAUUUUAAUCAUAUACUAUAAUUAAGAUCUCGUUUUAUAAAAAUUUGAAAAAAAUUGUUAUUUUUAUAUUAACUCAAGUUUAUGAUCAACCAUGCGAAAAGAGCAAUAGUGAUUCUGAACUUAGUAUUAU